ACCCCCUGUGCAGUUUCCCAGGGCUGCUUCCAGCCAACCCCCAGACAGCAGAAUCCUGGGGGCUGGGGCGUGCGUGUGUCAAAAUCUCUCUUUCUCUAGACUGAGAGCCAAGAGCCGGGAGUCGGGAGGUGUCCAGGGCCUGGAGCCUCUCCAGGAAGGGGCCCCCUGCUCUCCUGGGGCAGGUCAUGGGAGCCCAGUCGGCCCCCUCUAGCUCAGCACCAGGGGGCGGAGGACAGGGCCAGGCCACAGGAUGGAGGGGCCUGCAUUCCGCCAGUUCCCCAGGGAGCCCGGGAAAGCAAAGUCAGCCCCAGCUCUGACCCCAGCCACCGGGGCUCCCCGCAGUCACCUUCCAAGGACGCCGCAGGGCGGGGGCUCCCAGGCGCCUGAACACUGCCCUUCACAGCUCAACCUCAUCCCUGUGGCCAUCUCUUCUCUCUCGGUCGCUCCACGGACCUUCCCGCCCGGGCCCCCCAGCGGCUCCUGGGCCAGUCCCUACAGCCGACCCGGCGUCCCCCCCACCCGACCCAGGAGAAUGCUGUGAAGUGCGUUUCUACAUGGGCUGGGAGACCUUACAGUAGGAGACCCCCGUGAGGAGGGCGCCAGGCUCGAGGCUCUUGUCCUCUCGGGCAACUCGGGAUUCUGAACCAGCCCCCAGGAGUCCUUGAGGCUCUGAAAGACCACCCCAUCCAUCUGGCCACCCUCUGACCCAGGAAAAAGAGGGAGUCAAAUAAAAAAAAGAGAGAGAGAGAGAGAGAGUGGCUGCUUUCUUUUUCCUGGGACCAUUUUACCCGGAAGGGUUGGCUUCGAGGCUGGAACUCUUGUGGUCCAGACUUUCCUUAGAAGGUUUGAACCAAGAAGGGUUCAGGAAAUGCCAUCACUUCUGUGUCUCUUCUCACCCUGCCCCCCCCCCCCAUCCAGCAUACCUGAAAAGGCUAUCUCAGUGCCAUUCUGUCUCUCAAAGAAGUCAAGUGACUUGUCCAGAGUCAACAUUCGAACUCCAGACCCCAGACUCCCGGGGCCAGAACUCUUUACAUUUUUCCACACACUCAUCUAAUCCCAUCUCCCUCCUCCUCCCCACUUCAGGAUUUCUCAUUUAUAGCCUCUUUGUGAUGAUAACCUCCAAAUUCAAAGGAUUGAAAGCCUGACACACAGAAUGCUCACCCACCUACAAGAAUGGUCUGAGUGGGAGUCUGGAGUGCGGAGGGAGUUGAAGGUGCAGGAGUAUAACUGAGCAGGUUCACAGAUUUACGGUUAGAAAAGGACCUUAGCCACCCAGUCCAGACCCCCUCCUGUUAUGGAUGAGGAAAUGGAUGCCCAGGAGUGCUCUGUGUGCUGCCCCAUGCUGCUUCUAUUUGAUGGUUCCAGAACCACCCUACUUCUUCAUUUCUCUAGCUGAGGUGGAUCCCCACAGGAAGACCCACUGCUUUACUCAGCCUCUCUGUAAGGAGGAGCUGGUUAGACUGCUCAGGCUCCCCAAGGGCCAUAGAAAUGAGAGAAUACAUAUAUGAUGAGGUGUAUUCUCUCCCCCUCCAGUCUUCCCAGAGCACCUCCAAUUGGCUUCGCCCAGCAAUUCAACAUGCAUUUCUUGACAUCUACUUAUGCACCGGGCACUGUGCCAAGCAUUGUGAACACAAAGACCAAAGUUCUUCCCAUCAUGCCUUCUUCCCCCAGGAAACUUAUCCCUGGGAAAUCUCAUUAUUCUGCAAAAUUGAAUUUGCUUGGUUCUCAAAUCUCAUCAAUACUUCCUGAUCCCUUCUUUUUGACUAGAAGAGCAGGGCCAUGGGCUCCAUCACUUCUCUUUAAAGUUGAGGCUCAGGGGGCAGCUGGGUGGCACAGUGGACAGAGCACCAGGCCUGGAAAUGAGGAGUUCUGGGUUCAAGUCUUGAUCCAGAUUCCCAGCUAUGUGACCCUGGAAAAGUCAUUUAACCCCCUUUGUCUAACCCUUCCUUGCCUUUCUGUCUUAGUUAUGACUAAGAGAAGGUGAAGUUUAAAAAAAAAAAGGCCGGGAGGGAGUUCAGCAGUUUUUCUCCCUAUUUCCCACCAUACAUAUUUGGAAUUCUCCAAUAUGGCCCCUUCAUGGCUUACCGCACCCCCCUUUUUAGCUUCCUUUUGGGUAUUGUCUUCCCUCCUUAGAGUGUAAGUUCUUUGAAGGUAGGGACCAUAUUUGUUUUUAUUUGUAUUUGUAUCACCAGUGCUUAGCACACAGUAGACACUUCAAAAAAUAUUUGACUGGGGCAGCUAGGUAGCACAGCGAAUGAAGCCCAGGACUAGAGACAGGAGGUCCUGAGUUCAAAUUUAGAUUCAUACUUCGUAGCAGUGUGACCCAGGGCAAGUUCGAAUAAACUAGCUCUUAUUGCUGUCUUGGAAUUGAUACUAUCAGCUGUUACUUUAUUGAUAAAUGAUACUUUCUAUCACUCCUAAGACAGAAGGUAAGGGUAAACACAUUUAACUGAUUAGAGUUCAAUUCCCUGCCCUCAGGAGUUCCCAUUCUACCUCCAUUAUACCUAUCUGUAGAUGGGGUAACCCUCUCCAAAGAAGACCCAUUGCUAGUUUCAUCAAGUGUUUCUUUCCUUAGCACAGUGUCUGGCCAGCGCUUGGUGACAAUGAAAUAAAUAUUUACCCAUGAA